ACACUCCUACGGGAGGCAGCAGUGGGGAAUUUUGGACAAUGGGCGAAAGCCUGAUCCAGCAAUGCCGCGUGAGUGAAGAAGGCCUUCGGGUUGUAAAGCUCUUUUGUCAGGGAAGAAACGGUGAAAGCUAAUAUCUUUUGCUAAUGACGGUACCUGAAGAAUAAGCACCGGCUAACUACGUGCCAGCAGCCGCGGUAAUACGUAGGGUGCAAGCGUUAAUCGGAAUUACUGGGCGUAAAGCGUGCGCAGGCGGUUUUGUAAGUCUUAUGUGAAAUCCCCGGGCUCAACCUGGGAAUUGCAUUGGAGACUGCAAGGCUAGAAUCUGGCAGAGGGGGGUAGAAUUCCACGUGUAGCAGUGAAAUGCGUAGAUAUGUGGAGGAACACCGAUGGCGAAGGCAGCCCCCUGGGUCAAGAUUGACGCUCAUGCACGAAAGCGUGGGGAGCAAACAGGAUUAGAUACCCCAGUAGUCCCAUGAU
rnacentral:rRNA from 1 species